rnacentral:rRNA from 1 species
UACGUAGGGUGCAAGCGUUAAUCGGAAUUACUGGGCGUAAAGCGUGCGUAGACGGUUACAUAAGUCGGGUGUGAAAGCCCCGGGCUCAACCUGGGAAUUGCAUUCGAGACUGCGUAGCUAGGGUGCGGAAGAGGGAAGCGGAAUUUCCGGUGUAGCGGUGAAAUGCGUAGAUAUCGGAAGGAAUACCAGUGGCGAAAGCGGCUUCCUGGUCCAGCACCGACGUUCAGGCACGAAAGCGUGGGGAGCAAACAGG